UACGUAGGGUGCGAGCGUUAAUCGGAAUUACUGGGCGUAAAGCGUACGCAGGCGGCUUUGCAAGACAGGUGUGAAAUCCCCGGGCUCAACCUGGGAACUGCAUCUGUGACUGCAUUGCUGGAGUACGGUAGAGGGGGAUGGAAUUCCGCGUGUAGCAGUGAAAUGCGUAGAUAUGCGGAGGAACACCGAUGGCGAAGGCAAUCCCCUGGACCUGUACUGACGCUCAUGCACGAAAGCGUGGGGAGCAAACAGG
rnacentral:rRNA from 1 species